ACUUCAUACAAGAGAUUUAUUGAGAAGGGAAAACCCAGAAGGGUGGCUGCCUGUGCUCAGAUGAGAGCGAGCUGGUUGGUUGGCCCUAACGAUUGGGGCAAGAGGAAGAUAUGGAAGAAGGACCAAGGACUCUUCUGAAUGACCUGCGGAGGCCCAAAGGACAUCCGUUGACUGCCCUGAAGAGGAAGCCUGGUGUUGUAGGAAGAACGUGAAGUUGAAUCUUUGUGUUGUGUGCUGGGUGAGUCACUCAACCUGAGGACAGUCCCUUGCCUUCUCUGGACCUCUAUU
rnacentral:sRNA from 1 species